GACGAACGCUGGCGGCGUGCUUAACACAUGCAAGUCGAACGGAAAGGCCCUGCUUUUGGGGGGUGCUCGAGGGGCGAACGGGGGAGGAACACGGGAGUAACCUUCCCUUGACUUUGGGAUAACUUCAGGAAACUGGGGCUAAUACCGGAUAGGAGCUCCUGCUGCAUGUGGGGGGGGGGAAAGUUUCGGCGGUUGGGGAUGGACUCGCGGCGUAUCAGCUUGUGGGUGGGGUAGUGGCUUACCAAGGCUUUGACGGGUAGCCGGCCUGAGAGGGUGACCGGCCACAUUCGGACUGAGAUCCGGCCCCGACUCCUACGGGAGGCAGAAGUGGGGAAUAUUGCACAAUGGGCGGCAGCCUGAUGCAGCAACGCCGCGUCCGGGAUGACGGCCCUCGGGUUGUAAACCGCUUUCGCCUCUGACGCAGCGUGAGUGACGGUAAUGGGUAAAGAAGCACCGGCUAACUACGUG
rnacentral:rRNA from 1 species